GAUGCCAGCUAGCGAUCCGCCAAAGUUCCUCCGAUGACUUGGUGGGCAGCUUCCGGGAAACCAAAGCAUUUGGGUUCCGGGGGAAGUAUGGUUGCAAAGCUGAAACUUAAAGGAAUUGACGGAAGGGCACCACCAGGAGUGGAGCCUGCGGUUAAAUUUGACUCAACACGGGAAACCUCACCAGGCCCGGACACCGGAAGGAUUGACAGAUUGAGAGCUCUUUCUUGAUUCGGUGGGUGGUGGUGCAUGGCCGUUCUUAGUUGGUGGAGCGAUUUGUCUGGUUAAUUCCGAUAACGAACGAGACUCUAGCCUACUAAAUAGACGUACUUUAUUACCGGCAUCUCAAGGCCCAUCGGCUGUAUUGUUACUGAAUGUUAUUUGUAUAUUUUGUUGAUAUAUAUUUAUAAUAUGUAUGAUUGAUAAUAUAUAUUUUUUUAUAAUUCAUAU
rnacentral:rRNA from 1 species